CACGUAGGAGGCAAACGUUAUCCGGAUUUACUGGGCGUAAAGCGCAUGUAGGUGGUUCUGUAAGUAGGGCGUGAAAGCUCCCGGCUCAACUGGGAGAGGCCGUUCUAAACUACAGAGCUAGAGGAUGGUAGAGGGAGGUGGAAUUCCGGGUGUAGCGGUGGAAUGCGCAGAUAUCCGGAGGAACACCAGUGGCGAAAGCGGCCUCCUGGUCCAUUCCUGACACUCAGAUGCGAAAGCUAGGGUAGCAAACGGGAUUAGAUACCCCGGUAGUCCCUGA
rnacentral:rRNA from 1 species